CCCAAAGAAGCAAUAUAAAUGGGAUCUCGAGGAAGUACUUUAGCUCGUACAAAGAAACCGUAUCGUAUCGAAGAGGUAUUAAGAAAAUUGAAAUUGACGCAUCAGGUACACUACGUACCCUAGGUGCAUCCUUGCUGUUCAUGAAGUUGGAGCAAAUAGGGAAGUGGUCUCGGGUUCUCUGAGCGCGGCGGCGUGGAAUUGAGAAAUUCUAGUUUAGUUUUACUAGAGAGGCUGUUCCGUUCGAUUCAAUCGAAACAAUUUAACUCGCCGAGGAUAGACGGCGUAUGGUGGUAGCUGUGGUGGCAGCACCAGUCAACGUUAAGAGGUAAACUCCACCGGUUCCUCGUUAGCACGCAGAGGACAUACACGUGGCCCUGUACCAAAUCUAUCCGUACGCAGAAGUAAUACACGUGCUUUUGGAAUACCAUGGUGAAUUGCGGUGUGGAUUUCAGCAAUUUAGUUAGAAAAUCUUCAACGGCUAAAGUAAACAGCGGUUACGCGUUGCUCCAGGUUGCUACGAGUGAUGCUGUAAGCGUGUCUAUUCUUAUGUAUAUAAGCCAAAUAGGAGUGUGAAGGUUCCGCGUGGGGUUGUUAAGGGAUUGGUACGGAGGCUGGAUGGGAGGGGCGGGAAAGGAGCCGUUCCAGCUCUGUUUCAAGCAUUGUUAUUCAGACUGCGUUUGCGCCUAUGUAAAUGUUGGCUAACCCACACGGUCUACUAUAGACUCCCUAGACGCCCCCUGAGGUAUAAUCCUGGUCCCUUUGACGGAAGGAUCCAAGUCAAGGUGGCGACGUAAGAAUACGUGGCUUCCGAAGAGCACUUCCGGUCAGUUUCAAGAUCCACAUAUGUCAAUACUCGACUGCGUUACGGUCCCUUGCUCUUUUACUAUUAGUUUCUAUUGAGCGCUGUCUAUGUAUACUAUAGUGUAUCACAGUAUUCGCUGGGUUCUCUUUUUAUGGCGCAAGUACACGCACGACUAACCGAUAUGUGUUCCAAUUGCCAAUUAGAAAUUGCCAAGUUGGCAUUCAGUCAUUGUUCACUUUGUAAGCUACUGGAAUGCCAUUAAGUCCUUGGCGUGCUUUGGAAAAUUAAAGUUGCCUCUGCAAUUUUAGUGGCGAGCGUCGCGUGGCAACUUUUCAUAUUUAUGUAUUGUAAGAGCAACCUUUGGAACCCGAAAGUUGUAUAACGUAUUGCGUGCUUUUUCAAAAAUGUUAACAAUGGCUACCUGGAGCGACAGUAUAUUCCCGGAUGAAUAACCAGGGAAAUUGUUAUUACGUCCAUUCGUUUAAAAUUAUCUCGUGCUACAAGUGGUACGUUCAUAAGUAAACAGAAAAUAGUAUUUUUUUUUUUCAUUUCAUACAGAAAAUCAAAAUUUGUCAAGUUAGUUCACGUUUCGGUGGUAUAUUCGUGGUAAUUUCAAAUUCGUGAGAAUUGUAUAACCGAUAAUCGAUAACUGAUGUUAUCACGAUACUACUGUUACUUGAUAUCCUUGCACAUAAUAAAUACAAUAAGGUUUUACGUUUUUGUUUAAGUACGAUUUAGUACAUUGUUUUUGCUGAAACUGCGAUCCGAAUAAUUUACAUUUUAUUUGAUACUUGCUCAAAGGCUUCUAUCUCUAUAUUGGUAUGACGUACUUUUAUUGGUCGUUUCAUAUGGGUCUAGUGUGCUUCGUUAUUUUUUAAUGGAACUAUACAGAGCAGCGCAUUCCCGUCGAUAACGAUUCUCGAGACGUGCGUGAUAUAUUUUAAUGUGCGGGAUCAUUUUGUACGGGUUUUUUAAUCGGUGUUUAUCGUCGUAAUACCCCGACCGGUCUUCUGUGUAAACGCGUGGAAACGAACUGCGACUUACUGGAAGUAAAUUUUAACUUUGUAAAUUAGAAGUUUAUAUUGCUACGACCAAGUAAUUACGUAUACGUAUAUAUGUGUACGCAGAUAAUUGAAAACAAGAAUUUCUGUCACGUUUCACUGUUACGCUUUACGUUUACGAGGUGUUCAAGAUUGUGUUGAUACUUUUAUACGUAUAAACUUCUUCAUAUAAAUGUUGUGUGGAUUUUACCACCACUUGGUGACGUCAUGCAGUGAAAAAAAAAAUUAUGUCCACCUAUAAACUUGAAGAAUUUGUAGAAAAACUGUAUAUCUGUAACGGGCAUUAUAAUGCCUAUUUUUGAA